rnacentral:rRNA from 1 species
CGGCAAGAGCUCAAGUUUAGAAUCUGUGAUCGCUUCGGUCACCGAAUUGUAAUCUAAAGGGGCUAUCAAAAGGGGAAGUCGAGGUAUAAGUUCCUUGGAAAAGGACGUCAAAGAGGGUGAAAACCCCGUAUGCAGCCUCUGCUGAACCGAAUGAUGACCUUCU